rnacentral:rRNA from 1 species
UUGACCUCGGAUCAGGUAGGGAUACCCGCUGAACUUAAGCAUAUCAAAAACGGGAGGAAA